CUACGGGUUGCAGCAGUGGGGAAUUUUGCGCAAUGGGGGAAACCCUGACGCAGCGACGCCGCGUGAGCGAUGACGUCUUUCGGGAUGUAAAGCUCUGUCAAGAGGGACGAUAGUGACGGUACCUCUAGAGGAAGCCCCGGCUAACUACGUGCCAGCAGCCGCGGUAAUACGUAGGGGGCGAGCGUUAUCCGGAUUUAUUGGGCAUAAAGGGCGUGUAGGUGGCUUUUUAAGUCAGAUGUUAAAUUUUUCAGCUCAACUGAAACUCGCAUUUGAAACUGGAAGGCUAGAGGUCAGGAGAGGGAAGCGGAACUCAUGGUGUAGCGGUGAAAUGCGUAGAUAUCAUGAGGAACACCAGUAGCGAAGGCGGCUUCCUGGCCUGAAUCUGACACUGAGGCGCGAAAGCGUGGGGAGCGAACGGGAUUAGAUACCCCCGUAGUC
rnacentral:rRNA from 1 species